CCGGGUGAUGAGACUAAGGCGAAUGCGACUUGGCCUACUGACUCUUGGCUUGGGGGCGGGGGAGGACACCUGGUGAGAUCUGAGAUCUUGGUGGGGAUGCCCGAGCCCUGGCUCCCCACUGUAAGGCCAGAUCGAUAGCACUGCUGGCCUUGCCUUUAUGUUAGCUGUCACCACAGUACUGGCAGCAACCUGUAGGGAGGCCCACAGGGGGUAGCCAACAUGUGAGUAUAGCCAUGUGAGCGCAACCUUGAAUCUGACA